AAAUAUAAAAAUUGAUGAUUCCAUUUGAAACUGUAAGAAAUGGAAAUAAUUAACAAAGGCAAUGAUGAACCCCGUCAAUUCAAAACAGAAAUGCUAUCUCUAGGUUGUACUACGUAAAGUGUGGGAAAAACACGAGACUCUAAACAAUCGGUAUGCACAGGUGUUCAGGUGUUGUUCCCGCUUAAAGAAUAAUCAUACUAGGUCGAUUUCCGAAGAAUCCAAAAAUAAGAAGCAAACUGAUAAAACUACCAAGAUGAUGGGAUACAGAAAUGGUCACCAUGCAAUUUACGUAUUCAGUAGAAGAAAAAAAUUGAAAUGUAGUGCUCAAAUGAGAUCCAGCUACACAGGGUUGCCUUCUAUAUUUAUUCGACUUAACCAGAAAAUUAUACAAAAUUGUGGUUAUAUAAAUUUGCCCCUUUCGUGUUUUAUGAAAAACUGGAUCAUCCUCAACUGAAAGAAAAUUCGCAAUGAUUUCAGAAACUGAACAUAAUUAUGGACCAAAAAUGAAAUCAAAUUUUCAAAGAUGUUGCCAUAGCCACCAUUUAGGGGUUACAAAAUAGAAGAGUUUUUUUACUUUACUUUAUUAAUAUCUGUUGUUCAUCUGGGACACAGAUGAAAUUCCACAGAUGAGUGCUAUAAAAUUUUGGGGAAAAUUCAUACCGCAACAGUAUAUAAUAGAGAGUCUUUAAGUCUAGUGAGUAAAUAAUCUUUCUCAAUGCUCUGCGCCCUCGUGCACAGUCGCUAUUCUCAGGUUUAAUUUAAGCGAGCCACAGUGUCUACUAUUCUUCACCAAACUUUAUACGCGUAUGGUAACAGAAAGUGAAAAAACGAGAAACCCAAUAAAACCUGGAGUUUUUUUCAAAAUUGUAUUAUGAAUAUAAUUUAAAACUCCUUCGUUUAAAAUCGCGAUGGGAUCGGCAAUGCUAAUUAUAGGUACCGGUUCACAGACCAUAAAAUUUGGUUAUAAAAUAAUAAAAUAGAAAACCGCAGGAUUACCAUAAAAACCUUUCUUCCAUAUAAUUUGUGGACGGGAAAUUGGACCAACUAUUUUCAAAGUGCAAAGUGUAUUAUCUAAUAGCUAUAUAAUUUAUGAUUAUAUGUAGGUAUAUGUGUAUGUUAUCAAUUUAAAAACACUUCCAAAAUUGCUUAGAUUGACAUCAAUCCAAAACAAUGCGAAAUGGCAGGGAAGUGAGAUUUGUUUACACAAAGUCAAAACCUAACCCCUAAUUAUGACGUCAUACUAAUACCGCUUAUUGACUUUUUUUCUACAAAGGUUGGGUUUGUUUGAAAAAAAAAAAAGAUUAAGAUUCCCCCUUAGCUCGACGUGCUGCAAGAAAAUUUGCAAACAUAGAGAUACAACCCUAUACGUCCAAUCAUUAGCGUUCGUUAAUUGAACGUGUCGAAGAGUCCUUCUUUCCGGGAACAAGAGGCCCAUCCCGUAACACUACCCGGUGCGUGCGUCAUCACAAAAGAACAAGUGCACUCCACAUUAUAUGCGAGCCGUCACUUUUUUCUUGCGUUUGAGCGCGAGUCUUCUAUACAGUGUAAUUUUCUCACGGACGUCGCUUGACAUCUACAUCCUGCGAGAUUAUUGUGAAAUCUUUUCGUUUUUUUUUUUUUUCGAUUACGACGAAAAACUUUCACUAUGGGUCAACACUGAAUAUGUAUAUUUAAAUAAAGAUAAAAACAGGAAAAUGACGAUAGUAGAGUAUUCUAAAAUAACACAAAACUUGCCAGAAUCGUGUGACCAUGGUUAUUUCCAUUUUCACAUUUAUAUUUUUGUAGUCUUUCGCAAACAUUUCUAAAAUGGUAAAUGGCAAAAAAUGCGGAAUAUUCAAAUUUUCCAUAAAAAAAAAUCACGUUACACAUAACAGAUUAGUUCUACAUCCAUAUAUGAGCAGACGUUGCCAAAUGUAGAUCAAACUCUACAUAAAUUUUACAAUGUUAAAUAUCAGUUAACACUGCAUUGUUAAAUCUGUUGUAAACUACUGCUUUAAAGAAAUAUAGAAAAUUAGUUAAUUUAGAGGUUACUAUUAAAAAAAUGCAGAACCUUGGAGCAUAUUGCGAUUGAAACAAUCUCAUUUUUUGGAGUACACGCACAAAGAGAGAAAUUAAAGGCGGCUAUGAAAAGGCUAUAAUAAGAAUUUACGUACCCAUAUUCCGUUCGUUUUAAGUCUUAACGAUAUUAUUUAAGAAUGAUCGUAACAAUGUAGAUAGAGAAUAGAUCUGAACCUAAAAAACAGAGCCCAACAAUAAGUAACAAAACGGGUCGGUAUUAGUACAUACGCUGUGAUAUAUUUUACAUGUAAAAUGAAAUCAAUGCCAAGUCGCCCAUAUUUCCAGUCCUAUCCAAAUCUGUCAAUUUUUCUGCCUUACUCUUGACGAUUAUAAACUAAAAAUUGGCAACAUUGUGAUCAGUGUCAAUGACGCCCUGAAGCGCAGAUAUGAAUUGUCCAUAUUAACGUCUGUGGUCUUUGACAUGCCCAACCAAAAUAGCCAAACAUUAAUUCAUUUGGUAAUAGGGAAAAUUAGUAUUUUUCUGAUUUUGGAGUACCUCUACAGUUUCACCCAGGUGAGUAAAUAACAUUUUCCGUAUUAAAAACAAUUGCAUUCGUUCCAAAUCGCAAAAAGCGCGCAACCCGUUGUUAUUUCUUGUUACAAUCUUCUAUUUCAGGCGAGCUAUCAAAAAAAAAGAGUGCAAACAUUCCGAGGGUGGAGCACAGAGAAAGCUAGCGAAUUCCCGGUCUCGCGAAAAGAAUGUCGAGAAAGAGAGAGGGUCGGAACGGGGGCGUAAAUGUCAAACACAACGCCGCCUGUGUUGCGUUUUAAUUAUACUAUACGAUUAUGAUUACCGCACGAAUUAGCGAACGGAUGCUGUAUGCAAUUCCAAGCUCUCUUUCAUGUGUGCCGUAAUAAGACCGCAUUAGACGUGCAUGUUUAAUAGCGGAUGUUUAAUUCGCUCCCCUUUUUUCCGUUUAAUUGCGUGUGGAAUUUUCAAAGCGGUCCACUUGAGACUCCGACCCAUCACGACAAGUUCAUUUAUACGGAAAAUAACUGCGCAGAAUAUCCAGAUAACUGCGCAGAAGGAUCAUACUCAACUAACAUUUUUUGUUUUAUAAUGGUGACGGUUAAAUAUCGAUCACUUUUUUUUUAAAUCGUUUAUUUUAAUAAUAUGCGAGAUGCAACGAAUAAGAACAGCUCCAAAAGCUUUUUUUGGUUAAAUUAGAAAAAAGUUGCAAAAUUUAAAGUUUAACAACGUUGUGCUGAGGGAAAUACAAAACUCCCAUAACUUCCGAAAAAAAAACGAUUUCCGAUUUCGUUUUGAUUUUUUUCUGGUGUUAUUUAAAGAUAUAUAAAAAAUAAAGACACUUUCUCGUUGCCGCUUUUACAAAACUCCCGUAAUUUCCGAAGAUACGGCAAAAAAACGAAUUUUGCCGAUUUUUUUCUGGUGUUAUUUAAAGAGAUAUAAAAAAUAAAUUCGUAUCAGUGAUAAAACUACACCAUGCGAUUCUACACAAUAUGGUUCUACAAUCUUUAAAUCGCAAAAAUGGGUUUUUAUGAAAGUUUUAAUGUUUCGGUGUUGAGAAAAUGUAAGAAUAAUUUUAUUGACAUAUUGGUGCACCGUUUUUUGACGUUUUUGUGUUUAGUUUUGGGUGUUGGUCCUUUUUUUGAUUUUGAGAAGUUCGAUAUGCUACAAUGUACGGGCAACAACCAUAACAAAAACGCGAAUUUACGCUCCUUUUUAAACUUUUUUGCCAAUAUGAGUUGCGGUAAGUAUAGGUAGGACUUUAUACAUAAAAUAUGUUUAAAAUUUCAAAAUGUAAUGGGGUGGUCGUUUUCAAAUAAGCAAGUUGACAGUAACCGGUUGACCCGGAAGUGACAGGAAGUUGAAAAUAUUUUUAAAAACGGAUACGCUUGACACUGACCUUAACCUAAGAAUUUGCACAUUCCUCAAUUAGUUUGCAUGUAAAAUGCGACCAACUUAAUCAAAAAUUUGUUAUCUAAUCAUUUAAUUGUUCAAUAAUAAGAGUUUUAUUUCAAUAUUCGUCAAUUACACUAAUGGCAGAUAUGUAUGUUAUGUACGGACGCACAAACGGAAAUUCCUUGAAAGCAUAUCGCAUUUUCAACACUUACUGAAUUUUUUUAUUUUGAAACUGCAGGAAACAAAAAAGUUUUUAAAUAAGUUUUUCCAUAAAUUUAGUUAAGUAGACCGACAAGGGGGUAGUCUAAUUCAAUCCCCUUCACUCAAUUUAAAAAAUUACAAAUAAUACAGGAAGUGUGCUUUUAUAAUAGCAACAUUUUAUUGUUCUAUCUAUUUUAGUUUUUAAUAUAAAAAAUGAAAACAUUACCAAUGUUUAUACAACCAACUACGCUUUCUUUUAAAUAAGGAAUUACCAUCUACAAGUUUUUUGCAUCUGUUUUGGAACGCUUUGUAUAUAGCCCUAUUAAACCUUCACUUUUCAAUUGUUAUUUAUUUAUUAAUGUUUCCCGGAAAGAAACGUGCUCAUUUUUAUGUAAAUAUUUAUUGGGACCUAUGAGAUUUAUAAGAGUUUUACGGAAUAAGUUAAAAACCCGAAGAAUAAAAGUUAUAUAAUAAGAUUUAUAAGACCUUUUUAUAAACUCCGAAGUAACCAACCCAAAGGAUUUAUUGGGGAAGUAAGGGGAAACUUUUUGGAUCCGAUAUUGUAAAAUCCAAGAAUAUAAAAGUUUUUUUGCAUUUAUUGGACAUUUUAUAAAACCAUAAAAACUGUUAUUAAAGGUAAGACUCCUUAUAAAUCUCCUAUUAUUAUCCGUUACUUAAUAAUAA